rnacentral:lncRNA from 1 species
AGUGAUCCUCCUGCCUCAGCCUCCCAUGUAGCUGGGACUACAGACAUCCACAAUAAUCAUGUCCCACCCAGCCCCAAAGAAGAUGGGGCUCAGGACUGGGGGUGAGGGAUGAACAGGAUGCCACUUCACACAUGACUUGGAAAAGAAGCCCAGUCCAUAAGCUCCCUGUUCCCCUCACCACUGAGGACCCCAUGCCUGUGUAUGCAGUAGGUGCACCAUAGGUGGCUGGUGAGUAUAGGCUGUGUCACAGCUACACAAAAAGGGCAGCUACUACCAGUUAACCGUUGCUAGAGGGUGGUAGAAUAAACCCCCUAGUUUGCCAUAGUUCACAAAGGAGAGCCAAGGCCAGGCAGGAUUGCAGGAACCUUGCACCCAGACCCCCACUGCCAUGGUCCCCUCUCUGAAAUGCCCCACAAUCUGGGUUUCCUACAAUCCAACUGGAACCAAGUGCCAUAUACCCAGUGACAAAUGAGGUGCCCAGAGCCAGAAUAGUCUAGAUGAAUUUAUUGCCAUUCACAUAUUUCAUAGAAAAAAAGAUGUAGCAAACGGGUCAGGGUUGUACAAAAAAAAAAAAAAAAAAAA